AAUCCAUGUAAAUUGUUCCAAAUUGUUGUAAGUAAUAAUGUUUCCAAAAUAAAGCCCCUGUAGUCCAAUGACAGCACUUUGACUUCUUCGGCGAGGACGAUAACGUGUUCGUUCAUUCGACCUAUGAAAGCUGAUUAACAUGUAUUUGCACAGCCAUACAAUAUCAAGUAUAUUGACUUUGAAAAUCCGUUGUUAUUUGUAUCUAUCUUUUUUGUUGUUGUGUGUGUGUCAUUAUUACUUUUUCAAAAUCUAAUCUUCUUUUCGUGGUGGAGGCUUAUUGUGCCUCCUCCUAAAACAGACUAUAAUCCAAACCUAACCGUCCGCACUGAAAGUAGGUGACCUCUUCAUCGUUAUGUAAAUCAGGUGAGCGUUUUGGUGAGAGGUGCUCAGAUAGGAUCAAGGUCAGUAGAAUGGGGAGAAGGACGUCUCAUGCCAUAUUGCUGCUACUGCCAAGUGCAGGCGGAAAAUAUAGCACUGAAACCGGCAGAAGUAUCUCUAACUGUAAGUGCCGUUUAAGAAGAUAUCAGAAGCCUCCUACUCAGAGACACGUUUCGUGUUCGACAUAUACAGCCCCACACCUAUGUCAAGAUUUCUUCCAAUGCCGACGUUUGUCUGCUCUUCAAUUGGCAGGGACGACAUUUAGUAGUUAUGUUAGUUUUUGGUUGUAACAUUCUGCUCCAAAACGUAUAUCAAAUUAAGAGUUGAAUGAAAUGAGCUUUUUUUAUCUAUGAAACUUCUCAUGGAAAUUAAAACCAUACUUAGCGUCCGCCCUGCAUGUUGCUGGUUUGCUUCUUUUGGUAAUUGUAUGUUAUCAUGUCACGUUAGAUUUGAACCUCUCAAUUUACAGAAAUAAUAUAUGUGUAAAAAUGAUAAAGCGAAUGUUUUAAAAUGACCAUUUAUUUAUUUUUAAGAAGAGAAAUAUUUUCUAUUUGUCAGUGAAAAUAUGUGUGUGGGUAAAUCUGCAACUUGAUUCCUCGCUGUGAACUUGAAGAUGUACUUAUUCAUUUUAAAUGAUGUUGACUCCCGGGAAGGAAAGACAUUGCAACUCUAUUAUGUAACUUGCAUAUAGAAAACUUUUGAUUACAUUUAUCGUG